GGCAUUCUAAUCAUAUAAAGUGACGUUCUGUGAGAGGUACACGGCAUUCUAAUCACAGAGAGUGACAUUCUGUGUGAGGUACACGGCAUUCUAAUCACAGAGAGUGACAUUCUGUGUGAGGUACACGGCAUUCUUAUCAUAUAACGUGACAUUCUGUGUGAGGUAGACGGCAUUCUAAUCACAGAGUGACAUUCUGUGUGAGGUACACGGCAUUCUAAUGAAAGUGACAUUCUGUGUGAGGUACACUGCAUUCUAAUCACAGCGCGUGACAUUCUGUGUGAGGUACACGGCAUUCUAACCAUAUAAAGUGACAUUCUGUGUGAGGUACACAGCAUUCUAAUCACAGAGAGUGACAUUCUGUGUGAGGUACACGGCAUUCUAAUCAUAUAAAGUGACAUUCUGUGUGAGGUACACAGCAUUCUAAUCAUAUAAAGUGACAUUCUGUGUGAGGUACACAGCAUUCUAAUCAUAUAAAGUGACAUUCUGUGUGCGGUACACUGCAUUCUCAUAAUAUAAAGUGACAUUCUGUGUGAGGUACACGGCAUUCUAAUCACAGAGAGUGACAUUCUGUGUGAGGUACACGGCAUUCUAAUCACAG